rnacentral:lncRNA from 1 species
CCUCAUUGAAUACUCUGGGAUAUUCGAAACAGACAGUUUAUCAAUAUCGCUCGACGUUACAUUCCUAAGCUGCCUAGCCAACUCCAACGUGUUGUUAGUCCAGUUAACCGGCACAAGAACCGCCCACGCAAGCACUGCUAUUGGAACAAAGAUCUUAAGCCUACACACACAAAUCAACAACACCAACAGAUUCAAGAAGACGACGAGAAACUAAGUACUAAAACCACAAAGGUUCAAGCCCUUUACCCUAGCCAGUAAAUCCUGAGAUACACAACAGAAUCCAAACCAGCGUGAUCAAUGAGAUUCGAAACAGACAGUUUAUCAAUAUCGCUCGACGUUACAUUCCUUAGCUGCCUAGCCAACUCCAACGUGUUGUUAGUCCAGUUAACCGGCACAAGAACCGCCCAAGCAAGCACUGCUAUUGGAACAAAGAUCUUAAGCCUGCACACACAAAUCAACAACACAACAGAAUCAAGAAGAGGAGGAGAAACUUAAGUACUAAAACCACAAAGGUUCA